AGAUAAUCGCUUUUAUUUAAGGAAAAAAAAAUCAUCUUUCUUUUGAUAAUUUGUCUUAUCAUGCAUGAAUUAUGGCUAAAAGUUCCUCAGUUUUCAAGUAAAUGAAGUUAUUUUUAUGUUACUUAAAACAAUGACCACUAAUAUGUGGUGAGUGUACUAACGUUACAGCAUAGCUCCAAUGGUUCUGAUGCAUUAACAGUUUACAAUAUUAAUGCCUUAUAAACAGAAAUUAUAGUAGAUGCAAGCCUGGAAAAUGCAUCCCAAAAAUAACUGGAAAGAUAGGAUAUAUUGAAUUUAAAUUUUGUGUCAUUUUCUGUUCUAACAUGUGUUCCAUGGCUCUCCUGAAGU
rnacentral:misc_RNA from 1 species